UACCUGCAGCUCGAGUGGUAACCGCUAUUAUUGGGCCUAAAGCGUCCGUAGCCGGUUUGGUAAAUAUCUGGGUAAAUCGUGAGGCUUAACUUCACGAAUUUCGGAUAGACUGCCAGACUUGGGAUCGGGGGAGGUCAGAGGUACUCCAGGGGUAGCGGUGAAAUGUUGUAAUCCUUGGAGGACCACCGGUAGCGAAGGCGUCUGACUAGAACGAGUCCGACGGUGAGGGACGAAGCCCUGGGGCGCAAACCGGAUUAGAUACCCGGGUAGUCCAGGGUGUAAACAAUGUGGGCUUUGUAUUGGAGGUCCCACGUGGGCGUCCAGUGCAGAAGAGAAGUUGUUAAAGCCCACCGCCUGGGAAGUACGGUCGCAAGGCUGAAACUUAAGGAAUUGGCGGGGGAGCACAGCAACGGGAGGAGCGUGCGGUUU
rnacentral:rRNA from 1 species